GCACUUCCAGAGAGCAUGGGCAAUUUGAACUCUCUUGUGGAGUUGGAUUUAGGAGGUUGUGAAUCCUUGGAGGCACUUCCAGAGAGCAUGAGCAAUUUGAAUUCUCUUGUGAAGUUAUAUUUGUAUGGAUGUGGAUCCUUGAAGGCACUUCCAAAGAGCAUGGGCAAUUUGAACUCUCUUAAGGUGUUGAAUUUGAUUGGAUGUGGAUCCUUGAAGACACUUCCAGAGAGCAUGGGCAAUUUGAACUCUCUUGUGGAGUUGUAUUUGGGAGAAUGUGGAUCCUUGAAGGUACUUCCAGAGAGUAUGGGCAAUUUGAACUUUCUUAAGAAGUUGAAUUUGUAUGGAUGUGGAUCCUUGGAGGCACUUCCAAAGAGUAUGGGUAAUUUGAACUCUCUUGUGGAGUUGGAUUUGAGAGGUUGUAAAACUUUGGAGGCACUUCCAGAGAGCAUUGGUAAUUUGAAGAAUCUUAAAGUUUUUAAAUGAAUCAAGUAAUAGUAUAUUUUGAAAUCAUUUGAAGGCAUGAAAUUAGGAUGUAGUUAUUUAUUAAAUUUUUGAAGAUUGAAGUGUGGAUUUUU
rnacentral:lncRNA from 1 species